rnacentral:lncRNA from 1 species
UUUACAUAUAGAAGAUCAAAAAUUAUAGCUGGAAUUAGUUUUACAGAAUAAUCAAAAUAACAUUAAUGUUUCACUUCUAUAUCCAGGAAGUAUGUGUAUGUAGAUGGAGAAAAAAUUACAAAAUUCAUCUAAGUAUUGACAUUUUUGUUGGUGGUUUUUUUUUUGUGUGUGUUUUUUUUAAUUUUUGUUGUUUUUUGUUUUGUUUUGUUAUGUUUUUCCCUACCAUUAUUUCACUAGAAGAAGGCAGAGAGCAAAUGAAGAAGAAAAGGUUCGAUUCUGACAACAAUCAUGAAAUCCUCUGUGAAGCACUUAUUUUGAGGUCGCAAAAGGCAAGGUUAGCAGAGGAAUAG